UGGGGAAUUUUGGACAAUGGGCGCAAGCCUGAUCCAGCCAUGCCGCGUGCGGGAAGAAGGCCUUCGGGUUGUAAACCGCUUUUGUCAGGGAAGAAAUCUUCUGAGUUAAUACCUCGGGAGGAUGACGGUACCUGAAGAAUAAGCACCGGCUAACUACGUGCCAGCAGCCGCGGUAAUACGUAGGGUGCAAGCGUUAAUCGGAAUUACUGGGCGUAAAGCGUGCGCAGGCGGUUUUGUAAGACAGAGGUGAAAUCCCCGGGCUCAACCUGGGAACUGCCUUUGUGACUGCAAGGCUUGAGUGCGGCAGAGGGGGAUGGAAUUCCGCGUGUAGCAGUGAAAUGCGUAGAUAUGCGGAGGAACACCGAUGGCGAAGGCAAUCCCCUGGGCCUGCACUGACGCUCAUGCACGAAAGCGUGGGGAGCAAACAGGAUUAGAUACCCUGGUAGUCCACGCCCUAAACGAUGUCAACUGGUUGUUGGGAAGGUUCCCUUCUCAGUAACGUAGCUAACGCGUGAAGUUGACCGCCUGGGGAGUACG
rnacentral:rRNA from 1 species